CUACGGGUCGCUGCAGUGAGGAAUAUUGCACAAUGGGGGGAACCCUGAUGCAGCAACGCCGCGUGGAGGAUGACGCAUUUCGGUGUGUAAACUCCUUUUAUAUGUCAAGAAAAUGACGGUAGCAUAUGAAUAAGCACCGGCUAACUCCGUGCCAGCAGCCGCGGUAAUACGGAGGGUGCAAGCGUUACUCGGAAUCACUGGGCGUAAAGGACGCGUAGGCGGGUUGGAAAGUCAGGUGUGAAAUCCUACAGCUUAACUGUAGAACGGCACUUGAAACUUCUAAUCUAGAGUAUGGGAGGGGUAGAUGGAAUUAGUGGUGUAGGGGUAAAAUCCGUAGAUAUCACUAGGAAUACCUAAAGCGAAGGCGAUCUACUGGAACAUUACUGACGCUAAGGCGUGAAAGCGUGGGGAGCAAACAGGAUUAGAUACCCCAGUAGUC
rnacentral:rRNA from 1 species